AUUCAGAUGAGGAGUCUCAAACAGGACUAAAUUCGCAUCCUGGAU
rnacentral:hammerhead_ribozyme from 1 species